rnacentral:rRNA from 1 species
GUGUGACUGCGUACCUUUUGUAUAAUGGGUCAGCGACUUAUAUUCUGUAGCAAGGUUAACCGAAUAGGGGAGCCGAAGGGAAACCGAGUCUUAACUGGGCGUUAAGUUGCAGGGUAUAGACCCGAAACCCGGUGAUCUAGCCAUGGGCAGGUUGAAGGUUGGGUAACACUAACUGGAGGACCGAACCGACUAAUGUUGAAAAAUUAGCGGAUGACUUGUGGCUGGGGGUGAAAGGCCAAUCAAACCGGGAGAUAGCUGGUUCUCCCCGAAAGCUAUUUAGGUAGCGCCUCGUGAAUUCAUCUCCGGGGGUAGAGCACUGUUUCGGCAAGGGGGUCAUCCCGACUUACCAACCCGAUGCAAACUGCGAAUACCGGAGAAUGUUAUCACGGGAGACACACGGCGGGUGCUAACGUCCGUCGUGAAGAGGGAAACAACCCAGACCGCCAGCUAAGGUCCCAAAGUCAUGGUUAAGUGGGAAACGAUGUGGGAAGGCCCAGACAGCCAGGAUGUUGGCUUAGAAGCAGCCAUCAUUUAAAGAAAGCGUAAUAGCUCACUGGUCGAGUCGGCCUGCGCGGAAGAUGUAACGGGGCUAAACCAUGCACCGAAGCUGCGGCAGCGACGCUUAUGCGUUGUUGGGUAGGGGAGCGUUCUGUAAGCCUGCGAAGGUGUGCUGUGAGGCAUGCUGGAGGUAUCAGAAGUGCGAAUGCUGACAUAAGUAACGAUAAAGCGGGUGAAAAGCCCGCUCGCCGGAAGACCAAGGGUUCCUGUCCAACGUUAAUCGGGGCAGGGUGAGUCGACCCCUAAGGCGAGGCCGAAAGGCGUAGUCGAUGGGAAACAGGUUAAUAUUCCUGUACUUGGUGUUACUGCGAAGGGGGGACGGAGAAGGCUAUGUUGGCCGGGCGACGGUUGUCCCGGUUUAAGCGUGUAGGCUGGUUUUCCAGGCAAAUCCGGAAAAUCAAGGCUGAGGCGUGAUGACGAGGCACUACGGUGCUGAAGCAACAAAUGCCCUGCUUCCAGGAAAAGCCUCUAAGCAUCAGGUAACAUCAAAUCGUACCCCAAACCGACACAGGUGGUCAGGUAGAGAAUACCAAGGCGCUUGAGAGAACUCGGGUGAAGGAACUAGGCAAAAUGGUGCCGUAACUUCGGGAGAAGGCACGCUGAUAUGUAGGUGAAGUCCCUCGCGGAUGGAGCUGAAAUCAGUCGAAGAUACCAGCUGGCUGCAACUGUUUAUUAAAAACACAGCACUGUGCAAACACGAAAGUGGACGUAUACGGUGUGACGCCUGCCCGGUGCCGGAAGGUUAAUUGAUGGGGUUAGCGCAAGCGAAGCUCUUGAUCGAAGCCCCGGUAAACGGCGGCCGUAACUAUAACGGUCCUAAGGUAGCGAAAUUCCUUGUCGGGUAAGUUCCGACCUGCACGAAUGGCGUAAUGAUGGCCAGGCUGUCUCCACCCGAGACUCAGUGAAAUUGAACUCGCUGUGAAGAUGCAGUGUACCCGCGGCAAGACGGAAAGACCCCGUGAACCUUUACUAUAGCUUGACACUGAACAUUGAGCCUUGAUGUGUAGGAUAGGUGGGAGGCUUUGAAGUGUGGACGCCAGUCUGCAUGGAGCCGACCUUGAAAUACCACCCUUUAAUGUUUGAUGUUCUAACGUGGACCCGUAAUCCGGGUUGCGGACAGUGUCUGGUGGGUAGUUUGACUGGGGCGGUCUCCUCCUAAAGAGUAACGGAGGAGCACGAAGGUUGGCUAAUCCUGGUCGGACAUCAGGAGGUUAGUGCAAUGGCAUAAGCCAGCUUGACUGCGAGCGUGACGGCGCGAGCAGGUGCGAAAGCAGGUCAUAGUGAUCCGGUGGUUCUGAAUGGAAGGGCCAUCGCUCAACGGAUAAAAGGUACUCCGGGGAUAACAGGCUGAUACCGCCCAAGAGUUCAUAUCGACGGCGGUGUUUGGCACCUCGAUGUCGGCUCAUCACAUCCUGGGGCUGAAGUAGGUCCCAAGGGUAUGGCUGUUCGCCAUUUAAAGUGGUACGCGAGCUGGGUUUAGAACGUCGUGAGACAGUUCGGUCCCUAUCUGCCGUGGGCGCUGGAGAANUGAGGGGGGCUGCUCCUAGUACGAGAGGACCGGAGUGGACGCAUCACUGGUGUUCGGGUUGUCAUGCCAAUGGCACUGCCCGGUAGCUAAAUGCGGAAGAGAUAAGUGCUGAAAGCAUCUAAGCACGAAACUUGCCCCGAGAUGAGUUCUCCCUGACUCCUUGAGAGUCCUGAAGGAACGUUGAAGACGACGACGUUGAUAGGCCGGGUGUGUAAGCGCAGCGAUGCGUUGAGCUAACCGGUACUAAUGAACCGUGAGGCUUAACCUU